rnacentral:rRNA from 1 species
CCUACGGGAGGCAGCAGUGAGGAAUAAUGGUCAAUGGCCGCAGGGCUGAACCAGCCAAGUCGCGUGAGGGAUGACGGUCCUAUGGAUUGUAAACCUCUGUUGUCAGGGAGCGAAGGGCGCCACGUGUGGCGCUUUGCGAAGACCUGAAGAAAAAGCAUCGGUUACCUCCGUGCAAGCAGCCGCGGUAAUACGGAGGAGGCGAGCGUGAGCCGGAUGUCUUGGGUUUAAGGGGUGCGCAGGCGGAAUGUCAAGUGAGCGGUAAAAUUUCGGGGCUCAACCCCGUCGUGCCGUUGAAACUGGCGUUCUUGAGUGAGCGAGAGGUAUCCGGAAUGCGUGGUGUAGCGGU